rnacentral:lncRNA from 1 species
CUGCCUGGUUUAACCUCUUUGCAGAUCUGGACCCUCUGUCCAACCCAGAUGCUAUUGGGCGCAGUGAUCAGGAGUUCCUCAAUGCCUGAGAUGUGUUUUUUGAAGGAUGGUAUGGAGCUGAUCACUUCCCAGAUAUUCUUUGCCGGAAAGGAGUGCAUAUCCCAAGCCUUUAUUCGGAGCUGGAACACUACCUCUCCUGAAACCGUUCAACCUGAGCCAAGGAAGCAUCCAGAAAUUUCUAUUCAUAUCCAACACUGAAAGGUUUCUGAGAUAUGGGAAUGUCUCUCUUUUCUCCAUUCUUUCAUUGUGUGCGUGAAUUUACUGUAUGUUCAUUCGGUCAGGACACCGAAGGGUAAAAUGUUGAAGACUUCAUCUCUAUAUCACUAUAGUGUUGUUACCUGAGAGUAAAGUAUCAGUUACUUUCUGAAGUGCACAUGUUUAAAGGGACUUUGCCCAUCUUGUAUGUGGGGGGGCUGUUUUGCCUAGGACCAAAAAAAGAAAUAAACCUGCGUAAGCACAGCAGGGGAGUUUUAAAGUUUAUAGUGUUGUUACCUGAGAGUAAAGUAUCAGUUACUUUCUGAAGUGCACAUGUUUAAAGGGACUUUGCCUAUCUUGUAUGUGGGGGGGCUGUUUUGCCUAGGACCAAAAAAAGAAAUAAACCUGCGUAAGUGUGUGUAUAUCAGUAUGUUUUGUACAGCAGGGGAGUUUUAAAGUCCAGAAACAGGGUUACAGAUUUAUAACACCUGUUAUACAUUAUAGACUGUAUUUUUAAUCAAGAUUGAUACCCAAAAUGUGUGAAGUUGCGUGUAAAUAACAAAAAAUAUUUUUGGAGUCUCUUUCACUGGAUUAGUUUAACCCUAAAUUAUAAAAUAAAUGAAAUUAUUUAUUAAUAUAAUAAGUGUUACUGUAAACUACAUAUGCAAGUCGUGUGCUGUGCCAUUAGUUUGGUUGGAAUGAGGUCGUAACAUUUUAAUGAAACUAGUCAUAGGUGAUGCAUCUGGUUUUCAGUGACAAAAAUGCUGAAACACUCUCACGCAGAGAAAUAACUUCUCCCAAAUGAUCUUCACUGUCACACUGUGAUGCAAAACACUGGAAUGCAUUUGUGAACAUGUUUUUGUAUGUGAUUUUAUUUCAUAUGUCACCUUUAGCACAGAAUUACAUAAAUAUCCUACUUUAGAAAACGUUACAUUUUAACGUUACAGAUUAUCAUGUUUGGACUCAUCAGGAGUGACUAUGAAAUUGACCAAAAGGUUUUUGUUUUUUUUUGCAUUAAAGAAAUGCACUAAACUGUCUCCGAGUCCAAUCUCGGAUUGUUCUAGAAUGUAUGUUGUCUGCUUUUAAGCAUAGACAUGUUCAUUAGUCUGAAUAGCUUUGUCUAGCUGAAGUCUGUACAUUUCGCACAGGAUUUCACUCCAUAUUCAUUGGCGUGCAUCUUUUUGUCUUUGAGUGGUUUAACAUUUUGUAGUGUCACUUUAUGUAUUAGAGAAAUGUUGUGUUUGGAACUACAUGUUAAGAUGUUAUUAUAUGACUUGUCUUUUUUUUUUUUACUUUGAAAGAAAAAGAAUGUACACCACACCAUUCUCAGCUGCUUUCAUCUGUUUAUUUUAUGCAACUUUGCCUUUUGUUUCAGUUAAAUGAUGGAAACUGGACUGAGAUCUUGCAUCUGAGAGCUAAUAAAUUUGAGAAGAAUUCUGUUUCUGAUUGUUAUUUCUCUCAUUAUUGGUCAAUGUAAUCAGUUCUCAUAUGGCAAAAAAAAAUAAUCGAAUUUUAU